rnacentral:rRNA from 1 species
ACCAAGGUUGUUGCAGUUAAAAGCUCGUAGUUGGAUUUCGGGUGGGGUGGUGCGGUCCGCCUCUGGUGUGCACUGCUCUGCUCCACCUUCCUGCCGGGGACGGGCUCCUGGGCUUCACUGUCUGGGACUCGGAGUCGGCGAGGUUACUUUGAGUAAAUUAGAGUGUUCAAAGCAGGCCUACGCUCUGAAUACAUUAGCAUGGAAUAACACGAUAGGACUCUGGCCUAUCUGUUGGUCUGUGGGACCGGAGUAAUGAUUAAGAGGGGUAGUCGGGGGCAUUCGUAUUCCGUUGUCAGAGGUGAAAUUCUUGGAUUUACGGAAGACGAACAUCUGCGAAAGCAUUUGCCAAGGAUACUUUCAUUGAUCAAGAACGAAAGUUGGGGGCUCGAAG